UACAGAGGGGGCAAGCGUUAUUCGGAAUUAUUGGGCGUAAAGGGCGCGUAGGCGGCCUGGCAAGUGGAAGGUGAAAUCCCUCGGCUUAACCGAGGAACUGCCCUCCAAACUGCUUGGCUUGAGACCGGGAGAGGUGAGUGGAAUUCCCAGUGUAGCGGUGAAAUGCGUAGAUAUUGGGAGGAACACCAGUGGCGAAGGCGGACUCACUGGACCGGUACUGACGCUGAGGCGCGAAAGCGUGGGA
rnacentral:rRNA from 1 species